UACGUAGGGGGCAAGCGUUGUCCGGAUUUAUUGGGCGUAAAGCGCUCGCAGGUGGUUCGUCGCGUCGUGCGUGAAAGACCCCGGCUCAACUGGGGAGGGUCGUGCGAUACGGGCGGACUGGAGGCCAGUAGGGGGAUGCGGAAUUCCGGGUGUAGUGGUGGAAUGCGUAGAGAUCCGGAGGAACACCAGCGGCGAAGGCGGCGUCCUGGACUGGUCCUGACACUCAGGAGCGAAAGCGUGGGGAGCGAUCCGG
rnacentral:rRNA from 1 species